CUGUACUUGUACUCUUACUGAAUUUCUGAAGGAAGUAACUUACUUUUUACUCUUUUACAUGUUACCAAAUCAUUUCAUAUACAUAUAUUUAUAUUAUUAUGUCGUCGCUGUCGGAUGAAAUCCUCCUUAUCAAAAUGUUGUUGAUUUUUUUAGAUUUUUUUUUUAACUUGAAUCUAUAGUAUUGUGACGACCCUGGGUUUAUAAGUGCGGAUGUCAACUCUGACGCUGGAGCUUGCUUUUGCGGCACAGUCGAUAGCGCACUGGACUUCGGGCUAGAAGGUCCAGGGUUCGAGACCUGCUUCCUGCUGUUUCAUUACAAUAUUGGUUCCCCUUUACGUUUGUAUGAAUGUUUCACAACUCCUUGACCAAUGAAAUGUAUUAGAAAUAGCUUGUCGUCAAAACUCUUAAGUCCAUUGUCUCUCAAAGUUGUCCGUCAAACCCAGUUGUAUCUCCUCCACAAUUCUUGAAGUGAAGAACACUUCACUCCUCAAGAUUUGUUUGUUCUUGGGUUCUCAGCCAGACACAAUCAGAGUUCCCACCAAUAUCCAGAAACUUCGCAUAGACAUUGAAGAGGAGUGGGACAACAUUCCACAGGCCACAAUCAACAGCCUCAUCGCGAAGGUACACUAUAUAAAGAAAAAAGUAUGUGGACACCCCUUCAAAUGAGUGAAUUUGGCUAUUUCAGCUACACCCGUUGCUGACAGGUGUAUAAAAUUGAGUACACAGCCAUGCAAUCCCCAUAGACAAGCAUUGGCAUUAGAAUGGUUUUACUGAAGAGCUCAGUGACUUUCAACAGGGCACCGUCAUAGGAUGCCACCUUUACAACAAGUCCUCAGUUUGUCACAUUUCUGCCCUGCUAGAGCUACCCCGGUCAACUGCAAGUGCUGUUAUUGUGAAGUGGAAACAUCUAGAAGCAACAACGACUCAGCCGCAAAGUGGUCAUAGAGUUCUUUUCAGUUGACUGAUUUCCUUAUAUGAACUGUAACUCAGUAAAAUCUUUGUCUAUUCCAUUUAUAUUUUUGUUCAGUG
rnacentral:lncRNA from 1 species